GGGCUGUCCCGAGCCCCUGACGUGGAGGUCCUUCCUCCUCGCGCAGCGCCCUGCCCAUCUCCCCUUACCUGGUGCCCACGCCCGCUCGGCUGGCUGCCCUGGAGCCCGGCGGCACCUGCUGCAGCUGCUGUGCAACCGCUGUGUGAAUUUAGCCAACAGGGGUUGAAGAGCACUGGCAGAGGCCCUGUGAGACAGCUCCACUUGAAAAGGGACACCCAGGAUGGGACCCACACAGGAAAACAGACCAAGGGUUACCACCUCGUCUGACGUCUGAGAUUUCCUCUCUGGGAGAUGGGCCUGUCAUAAGCACUGUCCGAUGUCUUUAGAGUUCGUGGCCCUGGCUUGGGAUCUGCCUGCUUUCUUUGCUGUUGUCACCGUUGCCUGAGUACACAGAGGUGCCUAGAGCUAGAGCACCUGGCCUCGCCGUGUCAGCCAGCAGAGAGACAUCUUAGGCAGCCGCUCUGGGGGAGGAGGACUGCCCUUCAGCAGCAUGGAGGAGAAGCCGCAGCUGUCUCCGUGAAGGUCAAAAGCCUUGGCUGACUUAUGGACCCUCUUUGAGGUGGUUCCUGAGUCAGUGACCCUAUUUCCAGACAGAUACACAGACUUAAAGGGGGUGACCUGGCACUGGGCAGAGGAAUGAACGUAAAGUGCAAAUGUGGCAAAAUUCACCAUGAAAGUUAAAAUGUUCAUAUUCAGGCCAAAAAAUGAUUUGGCCUAAUUUAUGUGUUCGUGAAGUGUCCCUU
rnacentral:lncRNA from 1 species